rnacentral:lncRNA from 11 species
GAGCCAAUCAGAAGCCUCUGGGAAGCAAGGCAGCAUGGCCAGGAGGGAGACGGAAGGAAGGAAGAAAUGGCAGCAGCCACGGAAGGUUUUUCAAGCCUCGGCUGGGGGACAGUGACUGAAAACUCUGGUCUGGUCCUUUUUUGGAGGAAAAUUAGGGUGAAGUGAAAAAUCAAGGAAAGCAGAGUUUAUUGAAAAACCGCAAAACAGCGAAUCCGCAAAAAGCAAACCGAGAAGUAGAACAAGAAGGAUAAAGACAAGGGUGAGUUCUCCAUAUUGUUCUAUAUUUUGCAGAAUACUAUAGAAAAUAAAUAGAGC